rnacentral:lncRNA from 1 species
CCCAAGGUCAGGAUCCAGCCGAUGAUAGGAAACGAAGCCCAAUGAUCUGCACAAGUGCCAAUACAUCUAGGGCAAUGUCUUAGCUCUGUUUCGACCUCAAGCCACCAGCCUCUUUAGCCACAUGAGCAAUUUUUGAAAUAUGCCAACAACCUUUAAAAUGUGGGCAUGACCUGUAACCGACAUUCAUAAUUAAUAACUUUGAUUCACAAAUUAGUGGAUAAAUUUUCUAUCUUGACGGCCUGUC